GUCGAUAGAUAACAUCACUGACAACCAAUUAUAAGAGGAAAUGGCUUUCUUCAUUCAACAAACAAGUUCUCUCAUUCUGAUCUGCAAAAAAUCACCCAUUGUGUA